UUGAGGGCGGCGUGCUAUACAUGCAAGUCGAACGCUUCUUUUUCCACCGGAGCUUGCUCCACCGGAAAAAGAGGAGUGGCGAACGGGUGAGUAACACGUGGGUAACCUGCCCAUCAGAAGGGGAUAACACUUGGAAACAGGUGCUAAUACCGUAUAACAAUCGAAACCGCAUGGUUUUGAUUUGAAAGGCGCUUUCGGGUGUCGCUGAUGGAUGGACCCGCGGUGCAUUAGCUAGUUGGUGAGGUAACGGCUCACCAAGGCCACGAUGCAUAGCCGACCUGAGAGGGUGAUCGGCCACAUUGGGACUGAGACACGGCCCAAACUCCUACGGGAGGCAGCAGUAGGGAAUCUUCGGCAAUGGACGAAAGUCUGACCGAGCAACGCCGCGUGAGUGAAGAAGGUUUUCGGAUCGUAAAACUCUGUUGUUAGAGAAGAACAAGGAUGAGAGUAACUGUUCAUCCCUUGACGGUAUCUAACCAGAAAGCCACGGCUAACUACGUGCCAGCAGCCGCGGUAAUACGUAGGUGGCAAGCGUUGUCCGGAUUUAUUGGGCGUAAAGCGAGCGCAGGCGGUUUCUUAAGUCUGAUGUGAAAGCCCCCGGCUCAACCGGGGAGGGUCAUUGGAAACUGGGAGACUUGAGUGCAGAAGAGGAGAGUGGAAUUCCAUGUGUAGCGGUGAAAUGCGUAGAUAUAUGGAGGAACACCAGUGGCGAAGGCGGCUCUCUGGUCUGUAACUGACGCUGAGGCUCGAAAGCGUGGGGGAGCAAACAGGAUUAGAUACCCUGGUAGUCCACGCCGUAAACGAUGAGUGCUAAGUGUUGGAGGGUUUCCGCCCUUCAGUGCUGCAGCUAACGCAUUAAGCACUCCGCCUGGGGAGUACGACCGCAAGGUUGAAACUCAAGGAAUUGACGGGGGCCCGCACAGCGGUGGAGCAUGUGUUUAAUUCGAAGCAACGCGAGACCUUACCAGUUCUGAACAUCCUUUGACACUCUAGAGAUAGAGGCUUCCCUUCGGGGGCAAAGUGACAGUGUGCAUGUGCGUCAGCUCAUGUCCUGAAUGUUGGGUUUAGUCCGCA
rnacentral:rRNA from 1 species